rnacentral:rRNA from 1 species
UACGGGGGGAGCAAGCGUUGUUCGGAUUUACUGGGCGUAAAGGGCGCGUAGGCGGCCACUGCAAGUCGGUUGUGAAAUCUCCGGGCUUAACCCGGAAAGGUCAACCGAUACUGCAGGGCUAGAGUGCAGAAGGGGCAACUGGAAUUCUCGGUGUAGCGGUGAAAUGCGUGGAUAUCGAGAGGAACACCUGCGGCGAAGGCGGGUUGCUGGGCUGACACUGACGCUGAGGAGCGAAAGCAUGGGGAGCGAACAGG